CCGUGAUGUUAGCCAUGUUGUUCGCUUACCCUUUCUUAAAUAUCCAGGGAACACGGAUGUUAAUGUUAUAACUAGAAUGGUUAACGUUCUGGGUACUACAGGUAUUAAUACAGGCAUAUACAUGUCCAAAUGGGACUUUCUGUCUCCCUUCAGAUGGUAGGAAACAACCAAAAUGAAGACUCGCCGAGUUCUAGCUAGACACACGAAACCCCUAAACCCUAUAGAUGGAAAAGAGACUAACUUAGACUGCUCUUAUUUGGCCUUAUUGAAAUUUGAUUUUAUAGAAAAUUGGGUUCACAGCCUUACAUUGCUUCAACUGUAGCUCCAUUUUGAAAGUCGAAAGAGAUAAAUAUGAGAAAGAAUGAUACGAUUGCGUGAUGCUUUUUGAGUCCUUAGCCUUGCACUGUAUGCUAGAUGCUUGUGCCGACAAUUAUCAUAUUCUUGGCCAUGAGUUAUUGAGUUGUACACUCAAAUUUGUUGAACUAACGUUAGAUCAGCUGUUUUCUUGACACUAAGAAGCCCUCCAUCCUCCCAUUGAUUGUAAGAUGAAGGGCCUUUGAGGAUGACAAACUGUUGCCUCAUCUGACGCUUGCGUCGUUUCUAAUUUUGAUCGUCAGUGGAUAAUCAAUCCACUGACAGCCAUGGGCCUAUUUAAUCAGGUUUAUACCGGUCAUGUCUUCGGGAGUUUAGAUUCAUUUGUCAUGGUCGGACGGUUUGAUCACGUGUGUCUUACGCGUUUACUUGGAUCACGUGUGACUCAAUUGUGGCGAAUGCGACGUGCUGCUUGAGUAUCCAUCAAUGUUGCGCCAUGGAUAGCUGAGUGGUGUCACUCAAUCAUCAGCCUGAUGCAAUGCAGGACAUGGAGUUGGAGAUGGGUAUUAUGCCGUUGAGAUGGCGUCAUGUUUUGCAUUGCUAAAAACAAAGGAAGUACCUGAAAACAUGCUCCUAUUAGAGGUGGCCCCAAGCGUUCUGAGUUAUUGUUAUUGACAUUUGGUAAACUAUUUGACAUGUAAAAGUUUUGUUUCAAAUGUAUACCCUAGGUUCAAAACGACGGUUGUAAUACAUGUUCGAUGAACACAAGCCAGGACAGUGACAUCCCCUCAAGUACUGAGCACUCAGAGAGUGGACCAGGACUAAAAUCAUUUAUAAUCAGUCUUUAGAUGAUAAGCUGGUUCAGGUUGUAGUAAUAAAGCGUUGGCACAAGCAUCGAAUGCAGUCAUGGGAAUUUGAUUUUGUGAAUUGUGUUUCAGAAUGGCAAGACUUGAAGCAAUAAUUAUUUAAAUAUUGGUGAUAACAUAACCUUAGUUUCAGUCAGGAACUAUUUCGGUCCCAGUGUUGCUGCCCAUGAAGGAACAUUUAGCUUUCUUCGCUUCGGCCCCGUCCACACGAAGUCUCCGUUUUCGGAGUAUCUCCGUAAAGACGGAUGCCACCGAAACCGGGUAGAUCUGUAGAAACGCUGUAGUACACAUUCCAGGCCCAUAAGGGGCGCUGCUUCUGCUACAGAAAUCCAGAAGAAAAAUAAAUAAGGAGAGGCGAGCAUGCGCAUAAAGGGUGAGACUCCGCGGGCUUAACAGUCAUUAGGCUAGAUGGUCGAGGGGUGGGGCGAUAACGUCAUGGUUAUUCGCCGGCUUUGUGUGGAGGGAAGGACGAACCGUAUAAGACCUUUGCGGUUUCGCCAUGAAAUCGGCUUUGUGUGGACGGGGCCACACGAAGCCGAUUUCAACGUUUUUCAAUGUUUAAUCAUCAGCAGAAGGAAUAUGAAGCCAUAGUACAUUUGCACAACACAUUUAUGUCAAUCAAUCACCCGGCAUUUUGCAAAGUUGUGGUUGAAAAGCUUCCCUCAUUGCACUCAUGAAUCUUUCAUGGAAUUUAUAUACAUAGCUUCUGCCAUUUUCAAAUCUCAUUUCAAGCUCACCCACUCUGCCUUUUCAUAUUUGAAUUUCUGCAUUGUGCAUUUAUGUCAGUUUGGUGCCAAUUCUUUUUUUUUUCGGGAUUUUAUGAAUGUGGAUCAUAAAAUGUUUAGGGUCUAGGUGCUUGUACUGUUUUACAGUUGAGAUAACUGUAGGUGAGAUCUUGCUGGGAACCUUUAAAAAAUAUAUAAAA